GCCGGUAUAGCUCAGUUGGUAGAGCAGCGCACUCGUAACGCGAAGGUCGGAGGUUCGACUCCUCUUACCGGCACCA
rnacentral:tRNA from 1 species